rnacentral:ncRNA from 1 species
UAUACAAUUUAACCCUGGUUGAAGUUGAAAUAUAUCUAAUGAUGCUAUAUACGUUUAUUAUAUUAUGCUAAUCCUUGAGCAUAUAAAUUUGAGGUGGUUGUAGUAGUGAGAUCUAUCGUUAUAAAGAAAUUUAGUGAUGGUUGUUAGAUAGUAGAAGAGGCUAAAGCACAGUGCCAGCAGCCGCGGUUAUACUGUAAUUCUUCUUAUUUCUUUUUUGGUUAAAACUUUUAUUGAAAUUUAAAUAAAAUUGGUUGGUUAAAUAGGUUUUUUUUUGAGAAUACUUCAAUGAUGUGUAAAGUUCCAGUAUAAAGACAGGGAUUAGAUACCCCUUUAUUAGGAUAAAAAAUUUUGUCCACGGUUUCAAACUGAAAGGGUUUGGCAGCAAACUAAAUUCUUCCGGGGGAAGGUGCUUAUUAAAGAGAUGAUCCGCUUAUUAAUUUACUAUAUCUAGUGUUAGUGUAUAUCCGUUUGUAUAUUCACGCUUAGAGGUCAUAAGUGGGUAAAUAUUAAAUAAUUUAAGGCAGGUCUAUAUGCUGCUAAUGGUAUAGGUUGUUGUGCGUUACAAUAAAAAGUUUAAAUACUGAAAUGUAUUUUUAUUUUGGGACUCGGAAGUAGGAAUGUAAAUAGUAUGUCAUUUCGAAGGUUGAAAUAGUUUGGGUACACAUCGCCCGACAAUCUCGAUGCGUAAUUGAGUUAAGUCGUAACAUGGUAGUGCUUGAAGAAUCAGGCGCUAGAAUCUGUAU